rnacentral:rRNA from 1 species
UUUCGGUCAAAAUGUGGAACUGAGAGAAAUCGGCCAAGACUCCUAACGGAGCAGCAGUGGGGAAUUUGACAAUGGCGGAAAGCUGAUCCAGCCAUGCGCGUGAGUGAAGAAGCUUCGGGUGUAAAGCUCUUCAGGUGGAAAGAAAACGCAUAGGUAUACGUGUGCGGAUGACGGUACCAUCAGAAGAAGCACUGGCUAACUACGUGCCAGCAGCCGCGGUAAUACGUAGGGUGCGAGCGUUAAUCGGAAUUACUGGGCGUAAAGCGUGCGCAGGCGGUUAUGUAAGACAGAUGUGAAAUCCCCGGGCUCAACCUGGGAACUGCGUUUGUGACUGCAUAACUAGAGUACGGCAGAGGGAGGUGGAAUUCCGCGUGUAGCAGUGAAAUGCGUAGAUAUGCGGAGGAACACCGAUGGCGAAGGCAGCCUCCUGGGCCAGUACUGACGCUCAUGCACGAAAGCGUGGGGAGCAAACAGGAUUAGAUACCCUGGUAGUCCACGCCCUAAACGAUGUCAACUAGUUGUUCGGUGAGGAGACUCAUUGAGUAACGCAGCUAACGCGUGAAGUUGACCGCCUGGGGAGUACGGCCGCAAGGUUAAAACUCAAAGGAAUUGACGGGGACCCGCACAAGCGGUGGAUGAUGUGGAUUAAUUCGAUGCAACGCGAAAAACCUUACCUACCC